rnacentral:misc_RNA from 1 species
AUUGGGAUAACAAAGUUAUUGACAUCCAACAGAAAACCAAAGAGAUGGCACUUCUCUCGUCGCUCAAGCAAAUUGCUGGCAGUGAUUCUAGCUCAAUAUCUCAAGCUUUUAUGCCUGAGUUUUUCAAGCUGGUUUUAGGCACCCUUUCAUUGCCAAUUGACCUUCCUUGCACAAAUUAUCGUCGCGGACUCCAGGCUAGGAAGAAUAUUGUGAGCAUGUUGAGACAACUAGUAGAAGAACGAAGAGCAUCGAAAGAAACCCACCAGGACUUGCUUGGUUGCCUGAUGAAAAGUGAAGAGAGUAGAUACAAAUUAACUGAUGAAGAAAUAAUUGAUCAAAUAAUCACCAUUUUAUACUCUGGUUAUGAAACUGUUUCUACUACUUCAAUGAUGGCAGUAAAAUACUUGCAUGAUCACCCCAGAGUUCUUCAAGAACUAAGAAAAGAGCAUUUAGC